AUGUAUAAUUGAUAGGAAAUGGAUACUCCGCAUCAAAUGGGAGAGAAACUGGCAAGACUAUAGGUCGUAACGAGAAACAAGUCGCUGUCACAUACGUACAUGCCAUGGAACCACCGCAGAAAACAUAGCAUUUCUUGAUGUACUUGUAGAAGAUUUUUUUCUCGUAUUGUUGUGCUUCUCUAACAUAAGUCAUCAUUUCCUCGACUGUACGCUAUAACGCGUAAUUAAAACACAUUGGUAUAAUUUUAGACAAGUGUGUAGAAUGGGGCACGCCACACCGUUUUAGAUAAGUUUGAAAUAUGUUGUCAAGAUCAAUCUUAUCACUUCUGAUACUGCAGCACAUACUCAGAAAGAUCUCAAGCUUAUCAGAAUCGGUCGAUCUUCUUACGUUGCCACUCGAAAGUACCAAAAGUGCUAUUACAAACGUCUUUACAAGUGACGCGAAAUGUACUGUAAGUGACGCAAGCAGAAAAAUACAUGUGGACGUCGAUGGACACAGAUCUUACAAUUAGCUAAAACUGGUAUUAAAGAAGUUCAAUGCAUCGAAACUUUAGAUUAAUCGAAAUCAGUCAAAUGGUGUCGUCGCCCUGAGGAGAACAUUUGGUGUGUGAGAGGAAUGCAUUUCUUACCCCUAUGCUAUCUCGGAUGUUAUCUUCAGAGCGAUUGACAGUAAGUACUUUAAAAAUUCACUUCAUAGUCAGUAGCCUAUUUUUCAAACCAUUCUUUUCUUACUAUGCUUUUCAAUUUUCAUAAAUAUCCGAUUAACUUAAUUUUUUCAAAUAUCUCAUUGUGCGUUGUUCUAUUGCCCAAACGUUACACUAAGGCUAUAUAUGUAUGUAUAUCUUGAUAGAAAAGAAAUUUAUCUUACCCUAUUAUUUCUUGGUGUUCCUUGAUACAGCUUACCAAUAUGUCAGAGCUAUUCACGUGCCGUAGUUUCAUUCUUAGUAUGUCUAGUCUGGCUGCGGAGAAACUGAACAAAACAGCGAUCGUGAAAUCAACGCCGAUGCAGAAUGCCGUUUGAAAAAUGCAGUAAACUUGGUUAACGUAGACCAUGCAAUAUAUUCCGAGUGAUUCGGUGGAAAAUGGAAGCCAUCCAUCUGCUGGUAAUUCUUGGGCCGAGAAGAAAGGCGCCAAACUAAAUGAGAUCGCGGUUGUGAUAUAUCCCAUUGCAGUUACCGAGAGAAAUUGCUUGUAACGAUCCAUGUAUCUUUCUAUUGCCUUAGUCUCAUGUUCACUGGCCACUUCUAGGAAUGCUUUGACUUUUCCUGUCAGAACCUGAAUUGAUUAAAAAAAUCUACAAACUUUUUUACCGUAUCUUUAUUGUGAAACAUCAUUAAGCUCAUGCUUCAAACCCAAAUAACCUGUAGGUGAGCGUUAUUCCUUCUACAAAGAAUCAAAUCGAAGAGCACCUCCAACAGAGCUGUUACUUCGGAGACAGUUUUCAUCAAAAUAGGUAUAUCGUGUCGGAAGUGAAAGAUAGCGAAUACCAAGGAUAUCGUUAGAAAAACAACGUUUAAUAUCGCAAACGACCAUCGGAUGUUGCGAAAAAAGAUUUGUUUCUU
rnacentral:misc_RNA from 1 species